rnacentral:lncRNA from 1 species
UUCCUUUUGUACUACUUUAACUUCAGAUCCCAUACCUAGGCUUUUGCUCCUGUGAAGAACUAGGAGAAACUGGAAUAUGGCAGCUAACAGAUCCCCCCAUCCUUCCCCUGACUCAUGGACCAACAGGGGGCUUCAACUGGAGAGAGACCUUGCUGCAAGAGUAAGCCACAAAGGGAUUGAAGAAAAGGCCUUUUGGAGAAGUCUUUGGGGUGUUUAGUAAACAGUGGAAAACUCCAUACCACAUUCUAAAUGGACAGCUCAGAAUAAUCUAGCAUAUUUUCUUUCGUGCUUCAAGUUCUUAUGAUGAGACUGUAAAUGAAAGAAAGACAUGAUUCAGGGAGAAAAUAAAUCCAUUCUCUCUGGACUCUUGCCCAGCUAACAAGGCUUUGGAGAACUGUCUUCCAAAACAGGGACACCCACUGCAGCAGAUGCUGUUGUCCCCCUUCCGCCUAUGCAUGGCUAAGGAACCUCACUCCUCCCCGAAGGAGCUGCCAGCCUGCUCUGUGGAAGGAGUAUGCCCAGAAUGCAGUUUGGGGGCGGGGGUUUCUUCUGAACUCCAUUUUUAAGAUAGGCAAAGCUGAGGAAUCCUUUUAAGGUUAUUAGAAAACAUGCCCCCAAAGGAUGGUCCUUAGGUCACACAUCAAAUUCCACCCUCAGCAGACUCCAUACACCAGUGUUGCUGGCUCAAGACACCUGCUGGAGGACGCUAACAUUUACCCUGGUACUGCCACAUUUUCUCCAGAGCAGCUGGCCCUUCUUGCUUCUAUCUGUGAAAUGGGGAAACAAAGCAUUUUUGCUCUCAAUGUGCUUUUACUUCAUGUGGAAGAUACGUGUGACAUGUUCAAUGGUAGGUGCAGAAAGCUUGCAAACUAUAAAGAGAAUUGGAAUUUCCAUAUCAUAGUCUAAUGAGCCACAGCAAUUCUAAAUCACCAAAAUUUGCUAGUCUUUGUCCCCUAGACUAUGCUACUAUGCUAACUAGUUAAGGAUGUUGACAUUUUGAAAGAAUAUGUUCAAUAAAUUAUUUGAAUAAGCAAGAAGCUCAUUCUGUGCAAUAUGAAUAUCUUUAUAAACCACACCAAGGGCCAGGUUGUUGGAUACUUAUAGUACCUUGUAACCAUAAUAGAACAUCCACAAAUGCACCACUUAUACCAGGGAUGUAUAAUGAAGUCAGGGAACUAAUCUCAAUGCUGACAGUCACAAUGCACUGCUACUUGUGCUGUCCCUUUUUUGUUUGUUUUUCUAUGGUAAUUUAAAAUACAGAGGAGGUAGGGCCACUUGAAGUAAAUUAGAGAACCACAUCCUGUGGUUUCUUGUUAUACCUACUUCCCAUAUUUAAAGGGAGUUUAUUUAAAAGAAAAAAAUGAAUGACAAUCAAACCAAAACAUCAAUGAUCAAUGUCUAUUUAAUUGUGUGAAUAGCUGACUAUUAGGGCCACAGACAAUGGUCUGGUGUGGAAUAGUUCAUUGUGUAGAAUUUGUGUACAAAGUGAAAUCCCAGCCAUUUGAAGGGAACAAUAGUGUAAAGCAAAUCUAUAUAUGUUGUAGAAUAAGUUUUAAAACCCAGACUCAUAAAAUACAUGGCAAAUAAAAACAGACCUAUGCUGGUAAUUAAAAUUGAAAUUUGAUGACCCCUGGAAAGAAGAGGAAGUGAAAGGUUGCUGGCUAUAUGUGUUAAUCAGGGAAAGGGUUCUGGUUGCAUUUUUAAAAGACACUUAGAGAAAUAUGUCACGAAUUCUACAUUUGAAGAAACAGAUUAUGAUUUCUUUUAGCAUUGCACAAAUACCUAUCAACUUUUGGACAUAAAAAUAACCCUUUGCUGACAUAUUAGUAUGUUUAAACCUUAAAAUAACUGAGAGGGAAAUAUUCCAUUACAGUUCUUAAAAAAGAAAAGUCACACUAUAGCUAAUGUAGUGUCCCUGGUAUUUGUAAUGAAGUGAAUCCACCAUUUAAUCAGGUCUAUAAUAUUUAUUGGAUUCACCACAGGUUUUCCUGGGCUUGAGUGCUCAGAAUAUGCUUGAACACUUCACAUCAGAUUUCCUUGACACUUUGAAGUGUGUCCUAGACAGUGUCUUUACUUGUGUAAAAUAGAGUUCAGAAUAGGUUAUCCUCUCCAUCUCCCUCAGUUGUCUUAGUCCUAUGAUGUCCUGAUAAAUCAGUUUGACUGGGCUGCAUUCCAAUGUCCUUAGUCUAAUACGGACACAGCCUUAGGCAACUGCCUACCUGAGCCAAAGGAAGCAGAGAUCUAAAACAAUUUUCUGAAUAAUUUAGGUAGAGAACCCUGAGUACAAGAAAGAGUUUAUUCCCCUGCUUUAACUAUCCAAAUUGCUUAUCAAAAUGGCUGAAUAAUCUGAAUUCACAUUAAAAUCUCUUUUGCACAAUUACCUAUUAAAAAAUUUAACUAUGGACUCCAACUAAGGAAUUCUUUAGAAAUAAUAUUGAAUCUAUGUGUAAUAAAAGAAACAACAGUAUUACCAGAUUUCAUCUUCUUACAAAAAUUAUAAGUUGACAUUACAACCUGAAGUUGUGGCUGGUUCUUUGUGAUUUGAGAUUGAUGCUUAUUAGAAUAAAUGACCUGUAAGGGAAGGAUAAAAAAGAAAAAAAAGGGAGGAAAUGCCAGAAAAGAAUAAUCAAAUGGUUUCUUAUACAAAAGAAAAAAAUUUUAAUGUAGAAAGUUAUCUGAAAUAAACUAGGGGAAACGAAAUUAACUAAAGGAUUUAAUCUGGGAUUACAAAUCUGAAACCGUUUUCUGCUUCUACAAAUGUGUCACAUCAAUCUGCUAAUGCCCCAGUAUUAUUCAUAGAUAGGACUUUGUUUUCCAUGGUUUUAAAAUGCCACAUCUAUUCUGCCAUGGACUAGAAUAAUUGGCACAUUCUAAUGCAUAAACCGAGGGCUCCGUUUUCCCAGGCUCUCUCCGCCAUCACUGCUUUCCUAGUGAGGAGCUUCUUGCCUCGCCCAGUAUGGCGUUGAGAUUACAGUGUUGCCCAUCACAUUUAGAUUCCUGGAAUCUAAAUGGCCAAUUAAAUAGCCAGCUGAUGGCUGAAAGGCUUGGAGGAGUUUCUACUUUUUAUUUUAAUUAUACUUUUAACCAAAGAAUUGUUUUAAAGUUAUCUUAUAUUUGAAAGAUGAUUUUGCAAAAAAAAUAAAUAAAUAAAAAUAAAAAAUAUACCUUCUGGAGUGAUAUCAGUUUGGUAAGUCAUCAUUGAUCAUUUUCUUGUCCGUAGUGUUCCAGACACAUAUAGAUUGUCUUCCCGUUGUGCAUAGCAUUACCAUAAAUGUAUCUUUUCCACUUAACUAGCUGUAUUCGUAUUAAAAUGAAGUUUCUUAUUUCAAUUACCUAGUGUCACUGGGAACUAAUUGAACAGCUACAGGAAGAGAAGUUCCUAUCUCUGUUGCUUUUGUAGAAAGGGUUCCCUGUGUGGUCAAAGGAAAGCGUUCCUCCGUAACCUAGGCACUUGGCAAUGCCAGUGUUUAAUUUAAAAGUAGUGAUGAAUUGCUCUUUUGAAUUUACUCUGAGUAAUGCAUGUGUUGGAAUACAGAUGAACCUCCGUUUAAUUUUCACAGAAAUCAGCACAGUCAACUGUACUGAGUCUUCAUGAAGUUAGAUAAUGAGGCUGGAGUGAUUUGCAUUUAAAUUGUAAUCCAGCACAUGUGUGAGAAAGAAGAGGCGCUUGGCUGACAAGGCUGCUUUAGAGGGAGGGGAGACAGGCGUAGGAGGGCAGGAAAAAGAGCAAUUGAACAUCUAUUUAGGUUAAUGUUCAUGUUACAAAGGUGAUGGGGGAUAUUUUGGUAGGUGACGGCAGAUGCUUUCCAUUUUUAAAUGUAGGAUUAAAAUUGAAUUUGCUUCUCUUUAAUACUUCCACAUAUUGAACUUUCCUUGGAAAGUGACUAGUUAUACUGAAAAUUCAAGGAAAGGGGGAAAAAGAUUUCCUCUAAAUGCAAAGAGAAUAACUUGAUUUUAAAUACAUGUAAUAUUAGGUUUGAUGUAUGUAGGCUUAAAAUUAUAGUGAUGAGUAGUCAAACUUAAUAUGCAAUCAUUCCUUACAAAUAUUUUAUUCGGUACCACUUAGCUGCCAUUACUCACACAAAAAUCAGAAUUUUGCAGCUGUUCAACUAUUCAUGGACUUUGUACAGGAUACAUAUGUGUAAUGAAAAAUGUGUACUGGUUCUUUCUUUUAUUGCCACUCAAGAUGGGAAUAAGAUCCCAAAGCCUUUUGGUUAAUGCAUAGACCAUCCUAAACCUGCUAUUUUGGGGGAGGCAAUUGAGUUCUUUCUCAUUUAUUAAAAACUAUUGUAUCAUUUUUUUUUUCUAUGUGAUUCAAGUGUAUUUAUUUUUUAAAAAAAGUUUGUAAUUAUAAAAAAUAAAACCUCAUUUAACUGUAUUGCCAAAUUUCUUGUUCACUACCCAAGCACACAUGCUUUCCUGGCUGAGAGCUGUCCCCUCCUGAUACAGCUAUGGCACUGUUGUAAUUAGUUCUUUCCAUUCCAGGAGCAUCUCCAUUGAAAUGGUUCAUAGAUGAUUUAAUAAAGAGAAACUGUGUCCUCAGUCAAUCCAGAGCAAUCUCAUAUUAAAUUCUGAAUGGAGUCUAUUCCUAUCCUAUUCUCAGAUGUUAUUGUGG